rnacentral:rRNA from 1 species
AACGAACGCUGGCGGCAUGCCUAACACAUGCAAGUCGAACGAGACCUUCGGGUCUAGUGGCGCACGGGUGCGUAACGCGUUGGAACCUGCCCUUAGGUUCGGAAUAACUCCCCGAAAGGGGUGCUAAUACCGGAUAAUUUCUUCGGACCAAAGAUUUAUCGCCUUUGGAUGGGCCCGCGUUGGAUUAGCUAGUUGGUAGGGUAAAAGCCUACCAAGGCGACGAUCCAUAGCUGGUCUGAGAGGAUGAUCAGACACACUGGGACUGAGACACGGCCCAGACUCCUACGGGAGGAAGCAGUGGGGAAUAUUGGAAAAUGGGCGAAAGCCUGAUCAAGCAAUGACGCGUGAGUGAUGAAGGCCUUAGGGUUGUAAAGCUCUUCUACCAGGGAUGAUAAUGACAGUACCGGGAGAAUAAGCUCCGGCUAACUCCGUG